GACGAACGCUGGCGGCGUGCUUAACACAUGCAAGUCGAACGGAAAGGCCCUGCUUUUGUGGGGUGCUCGAGUGGCGAACGGGUGAGUAACACGUGAGUAACCUGCCCUUGACUUUGUGAUAACUUCAGGAAAAUGGGGCUAAUACCGGAUAGGAGCUCCUGCUGCAUGGUGGGGGUUGGAAAGUUUCGGCGGUUGGGGAUGGACUCGCGGCUUAUCAGCUUGUUGGUGUGGUAGUGGCUUACCAAGGCUUUGACGGGUAGCCGGCCUGAGAGGGGUGCCGGCGACAUUGGGCCUGAGAGAGGGAGCAGACUCGUACGGGAGGCAGCGGGGGAGAGUAUGACAGAGUGGGGGGACGCCUGUUGCAGCAGCGCCGGGUGCGGGAUGACGGCCUUCGGGUUGUGAACCGCUUUGGAAUGUGACGAAGCGUGAGUGACGGUAAUGGGUAAAGAAGCACCGGCUAACUACGUG
rnacentral:rRNA from 1 species